rnacentral:lncRNA from 1 species
CACUACACAUAACUCCAGCACAGAUUAAUUGAUCAAUUGAUUAAUUUCUUUCCUGGUGUCCAGAUUGGAGAGAAGGGACAGCAUGGAGCCACAGGGACUGAUGGACGUCCAGGACAACCAGGUCACGAGGGCCUCACUGGACCACAGGGGCCACGGGGCCUUGAGGGAGAACGAGGGAUUUCUGGACCCCCAGGACCACGAGGUCUCCCAGGCCCUAAGUUGAAUGAUGUUCAAAUUCGGGAAAUCUGUGCAGCUGUGGUUGAAGAACAUCUGGACGCGUACAAAAAGGAGCUCAGCAAGAAGCCACUGCCCCUUGGAGCUCCAGGCAUCCCAGGACCUGCUGGGCCCCCUGGACUUCCAGGUCUACCUGGCAAUGAUGGACAGGCUGGUCCCAUGGGGCCCAAGGGACCCAAAGGGCCUCAAGGAUAUUAUGGCUUACCUGGUUCACCUGGAUCAAAAGGUGGACCUGGUGCGAAAGGAGACAGGGGUGAAGAUGGAGUGGGCAUCAAAGGAAGUGCAGGACUCCCAGGUCUCCCAGGUCCAUCUGGGGUCCCCGGCAUUGGUAAGGAUGGCAAAGAUGGUGCUCGAGGAGAGGCUGGAACACCAGGUCUCCCAGGACCACCAGGGAGUAGGGGUCCAACAGGUUCUCCUGGCCUUUGUGACCCUUCAGACUGUUUGGGGAGGCCUCAGCCUCUUUAUCUGUUAGGCGGAAAGAAGUCAACAAGCGUAAAGGGACCAUGAACACUCCUGACCCUUAGUUAACACCACCCUCAUCAUGCAGCCAUCUAUGCCAUCUACGGUGACUUUGGAAGAGAAAAAAUUGCAAGCUCAUUGGUGCUAAAGCCACAGUGAUCCUUAUGUGCAUGUGCAUAACACGGAUAUCAUGUUCUGUACACAGUGUAGAUCAGAUGGUGAUUAUUUCAACCAGCUUAACAUAAUAUGCAAAAGAAAGAAUGACUUUGGAUAUUGUAUUGAAUGAAUUGCUAUUGGGUUCAAAUGACACAAUUGAAAGUGACUUGUAUGGAAAAUAAUAAUUCUAUGAUUAAUUAUUUUUCUACAUGUGAAAAUAAAAUGUUUUUAUACCGGAGAUGAGGACA